AUGUCGACGGGAGCGGGAGCGGAACCGGAGAUGGACGACGGUUACGGCUUUGACACGGUCUUCAACGUGGAGGCUUUCUCCGACAGGACGCUGCAGGUAGAGGUCGUCGGCCGCGACGACCACGCGCCUGGGUCCGGCCGCAAGCGCCGCCGCGAGGAGGACAAAGAAUAUGAUGGAGAACAUAUUGACUCGUUUUGUACUGUGAUGAGUACACCAGUUUUACGAGUGGAGACCAUAUAUGUGAGCUCGGCGAUUCUUGCUGCAAAAAGUAGUUUCUUUCGCAAGCUUUUCUCAAAUGGCAUGAAAGAAUCUGGUCAGAGAGAGGCAACAGUUAGACUUGCUGAUUCAGAGGAAAAGGCCUUCAUGGAGCUUUUACGCUUCAUGUACAUGGGAAAGUUGACACCAACAACUGAGCCCACUCAUCUGGUUGACAUCUUGAUGGCUGCUGACAAAUUUGAGGCCAUUUCUUGCAUGAAGCUUUGUGUGCCAGCUGUCCUAACAGAGGCAGUCAUGAAAUUCCUUGCUGAACGGUACAAGGAAUUCCUGUCAACAGAGUCCCAAGAUGAACUGAUGAGGAUCCCUGGUGCUGGGAUUGAAGCCAUCCUAAGAAGGAAUAGCUUUGGGUUUGCAUCUGAAGUAGCUGUCUAUGACUUCGUGCUUAGGUGGACCUGUUAUCAGUGCCCAAAUUCAGAAGAAAUACGGAAGUUCUCGAGUAAUAUUUUACUUCCGGUUGUGCAACAAAUGCACAUGUUGACCAAUGCCUUUGCAAUGUUCACCAACGCCAUUGCAGUUGAUCAUCCGUCUGGUAUAAUUAACUUCACUAUAAAUCGUGAGAAGUGCUUCAGUCUCUUCCCAUCAGGAUCAAUGAAUUCGCUGCCGUUCCACUGCGGGGACCAUGUCUUCUAUCUCUCGGCAUGCUGUGCUAUGAAGGAGCAGCUCCAAUAUUUUUACCUUGGAAUACAAGUGCUAACAUAUACCAAGGGGGCAGCAAGGGGGGCAAUAGAUUAUAAGUUUGAGGCAAAGAGAACACCGUCGCUGGAGUUUGUCACCAUGUUUAGUCGCACCAUCAACUCCGAUAGCAGGGUAGCUGUUCGAUGCAAGUUUCUUUGGUCGCAGUUCAUUGCUGACAACAACCCGUUCUUCGUUGAGGACAAACUCCAUUUGCGAGUCCAUGUGACCACAAAACCGCUGCAGCCAUAG
rnacentral:rRNA from 1 species